CUGUUAACUGGAAGCUUCUCAUUGCCAAUAAUUAAUUGCUGAUAAUUAACAAUUAAUUGUUUAUUCACUUGUUUGAAAUAGUAUAUUUUCUCUUCCUUGAUUAUCUUGGUGUCAAUUUGCUAAUCAACUUUUUGUUAGAAUCAAUUUAAACAAUUGAAGAUUAAGAUGACCAAAAGAAACAUUUACAAAUGUGUUAAUAUUUUAAAGAUUUGGGUCCGGUUUUUGCCAUUUUUCGUUGGUUCUAUGAUUGGUUGAAUUGUCUCCUGUUUACCUUUUGAUUAUGGGGCAGGUUGAGGCUCCAUCGGUGUUUAUUGGAUUCUGUGUUUUUAUGGUCACAUUUGAAUAUUUGAUUGAUCUGUUGAGGUUUCAGAUGCCUGAGAAUAAGAGUACAUCUUAUGAUUCUGUUAAUAUAAACAUUAGAUUAUUUCUCUGUUAAAUAUUGAGAUGGUAAUGGAAUUGCCCCGAGGAUUGUCUUUGGAUUAAAAUAUCAUCGAAAAUGAAAUGGUGAUGAGGAUAAGCCGAGUUAAUUUCAUCAAAAUUAAUCUAUGGAUUAAAAUCCAUCCUGUCCAAUCAAUGUUUCUCCAUCUUUAUCCUUGUCCUCUCCUCCUCUUCCUACACCCUGUCCUUCUCUCUCUUUCUCUCUGUCGUUAUUUCCGUAUAAAAGUCAAGCAAUUUGACCUGAAGAAAUUCAGUUCUGGUCAUCAGUCAAUAUCGAAUUGUGAAUAAUUUCCAAUCUUCAAAUCUACUCUAUUUUUCUCCUUCUUCAAUCUCAGUUUAUAUUCCAACUCUAACCAAGUGAAAAUGUCUUAUUCUAAUGUUCAUCUGACUCUUUUUACUUUAGUUGUCUUCUCUUCCCUUUAUUUGUCUUCCUGUAAAUCUCAUAUUGUGGUCAAAGAUUCAACGGGAGUGAUCGAUGGAUUCAAGAAAAAGGCCGAAAUGGCUGGAAUGGUUUCUGGAGCUUCGGUUGGUUUUGGCAAAGCGAUUCUAAAGAGUAAAAUCCAAGAACCUGUGGUGAAAGAGAUCUACACCCAAGUGAAGCCAAAAAAGCCCGUUCUUAAGGUGAAAUGGGUCGAGGAAGUGAGACCAGUACUGGUUCGAGUGAACGAAGAGCCAAAAACUGUUUACAAGAAGAAAAUCAUUAAAUCGACCAAGAAAACGAGCAUUUUCAAGGCUGGUGUUUUGCCUUAUGUCAAAGGCUUUUUCAAAGGAAAAUGGGCUGCGAAAAGUGUAUCUAAAGUAUUGAAACAUUAAAUUAACAGCGACAAAAAUUAACUGAUUGUUUUUCCAUCCAACCAAAUCCAAUUCCAAUUCCAAUGCUUAAUGUUUUUAUAAGAAUAUUUUCUUCAUAAAUCACUAGAAAUCGAUCCUUUUAUAAUUUGUAUUAAAUCAUUCGAUCGAAA